ACGGAAGGCAGCAGUGGGGGAUAUUGCACAAUGGGCGCAAGCCUGGUGCAGCAACGCCGCGUGAGGGAAGAAGGUUUUCGGAUUGUAAACCUCUGUCCUCGGUGAAGAAGAAAGUGACGGUAGCCGAGAAGGAAGCCACGGCUAACUACGUGCCAGCAGCCGCGGUAAUACGUAGGUGGCGAGCGUUGUCCGGAUUUACUGGGUGUAAAGGGAGCGCAGGCGGGACAGCAAGUUGGAUGUGAAAUACCGAGGCUUAACCACGGAGCUGCAUCCAAAACUGCCGUUCUUGAGUGAAGUAGAGGUAGGCGGAAUUCCGAGUGUAGCGGUGAAAUGCGUAGAUAUUCGGAGGAACACCGGUGGCGAAGGCGGCCUACUGGGCUUUAACUGACGCUGAGGCUCGAAAGUGUGGGGAGCAAACAGGAUUAGAUACCCUGGUA
rnacentral:rRNA from 1 species